rnacentral:misc_RNA from 1 species
GAUGAAGAACGUAGCGAAAUGCGAUACGUAAUGUGAAUUGCAGAAUUCAGUGAAUCAUGGAGUCUUUGAACGCACAUUGCGCCCCCUGGUAUUCCGGGGGGCAUGCCUGUCCGAGCGUCAUUGCUGCCCUCAAGCACGGCUUGUGUGUUGGGCCUCCGUCCUCCUCCCGGGGGACGGGCCCGAAAGGCAGCGGCGGCACCGCGUCCGGUCCUCGAGCGUAUGGGGCUUCGUCACCCGCUCUUGUAGGCCCGGCCGGCGCUUGCCGACACAUCAAUCUUUUUUCCAGGUUGACCUCGGAUCAGGUAGGGAUACCCGCUGAACUUAAGCAUAUCAAUAAGCGGAGGA